AUACGUAGGGGGCGAGCGUUGUCCGGAAUGAUUGGGCGUAAAGGGCGCGUAGGCGGCUUUGCAAGUCAGUAGUGGAAGUCCAUUUUUCAAGGAUGGAAGUGCUACAGAAACUGCGGAGCUUGAGUGCAGGAGAGGAUAUCGGAAUUCCCGGUGUAGCGGUGAAAUGCGUAGAGAUCGGGAGGAACACCAGUGGCGAAGGCGGGUAACUGGACUGCAACUGACGCUGAGGCGCGAAAGUGUGGGGAGCAAACAGGAUUAGAUACCCUGGUAGUCCACACUGUAAACGAUGAAUGCUAGGUGUAGGAGGUAUCGACCCCUUCUGUGCCGCAGUAAACACAGUAAGCAUUCCGCCUGGGGAGUACGGUCGCAAGAUUAAAACUCAAAUGAAUUGACGGGG
rnacentral:rRNA from 1 species